rnacentral:other from 1 species
AAAGUUCCGUUAGAUUGCGCUUGAAGUUUGAUCCUAAAAGGUUGGAGAUAGUCUUGAAGCAUGGUGUGCAAGCCUGCCUUGUGCAGGAAGCCUAAAGUGCAUCACAAAUCACCACUAUAAUAUUAUCGCAUUCAAGUAAAUUAAGACACUGACGGGGCUUUU